UGAUAGUCAGCAGCGAGCGUCUCCGCCUC
rnacentral:sRNA from 1 species